UGUGGUUUAAUCGAAGCAACGCGAAGAACCUUACCAGGUCUUGACAUCCCGAUGCUAUUUCUAGAGAUAGAAAGUUACUUCGGUACAUCGGUGACAGGUGGUGCAUGGUUGUCGCCAGCUCGUGUCGUGAGAUGUUGGGUUAAGUCCCGCAACGAGCGCAACCCCUAUUGUUAGUUGCCAUCAUUCAGUUGGGCACUCUAGCGAGACUGCCGGUAAUAAACCGGAGGAAGUGGGGAUGACGUCAAAUCAUCAUGCCCCUUAUGACCUGGGCUACACACGUGCUACAAUGGUUGGUACAACGAGUUGCGAGUCGGUGACGGCGAGCUAAUCUCUUAAAGCCAAUCUCAGUUCGGAUUGUAGGCUGCAACUCGCCUACAUGAAGUCGGAAUCGCUAGUAAUCGCGGAUCAGCACGCCGCGGUGAAUACGUUCCCGGGCCUU
rnacentral:rRNA from 1 species